AGUUAGCUCAUGUCACUCCUUCCUUGAGCUCUGAGCAUGUGCGUAGGAGAGAUUCUUUAGAUGCUGUUAGUGUACAGGACUCCCCCUCAGAUGGUCGCUCAGUUCGUAGCCGACAUGAUCCCUGUUGAUUUGCUCCAGACUUUAUAGCUCAUUUACAUUUAUCUUUUUAUAUACUUUCAUAUUAUAUAUAUAUUCAUGCACGUACAUGGAGUUUAGACUCUAGAUUAUACUUUAUACUUGGUUUGUGUUUGA